rnacentral:rRNA from 1 species
AUUGAACGCUGGCGGAAUGCUUUACACAUGCAAGUCGAACGGUAACAGGUCUUCGGAUGCUGACGAGUGGCGAACGGGUGAGUAAUAUAUCGGAACGUGCCCAGUCGUGGGGGAUAACGUAGCGAAAGUUACGCUAAUACCGCAUACGAUCUAAGGAUGAAAGCGGGGGAUCGCAAGACCUCGCGCGAUUGGAGCGGCCGAUAUCAGAUUAGGUAGUUGGUGGGGUAAAGGCUCACCAAGCCAACGAUCUGUAGCUGGUCUGAGAGGACGACCAGCCACACUGGGACUGAGACACGGCCCAGACUCCUACGGGAGGCAGCAGUGGGGAAUUUUGGACAAUGGGCGAAAGCCUGAUCCAGCCAUGCCGCGUGCAGGAUGAAGGCCUCGGUUGUAACUGCUUUGUACGGAACGAAAGACUCUGGUUAAUACCUGGGGUCCAUGACGGUACCGUAAGAAUAAGCACCGGCUAACUACGUG